GUUAGGAAUAUUGGACAAUGGGCGCAAGCCUGAUCCAGCCAUGCCGCGUGAACGAUGAAGGCCUUCGGGUUGUAAAGUUCUUUAGCCGACGAUUAUAAUGACUGUAGUCGGAAAAUAAGCCCCGGCUAACUUCGUGCCAGCAGCCGCGGUAAUACGAAGGGGGCGAGCGUUAUUCGGAAUCACUGGGCGUAAAGCGUGCGUAGGCGGUCUCGUAAGUUAGGAGUGAAAGCCCAGGGCUCAACCUUGGAAUUGCUCUUAAAACUGCAAGGCUAGAAUCUCGGAGAGGAUAGCGGAAUUUCCAGUGUAGCAGUGAAAUGCGUAGAUAUUGGAAGGAACACCAGUGGCGUAAGCGGCUAUCUGGACGAGUAUUGACGCUGAGGCACGAAAGCGUGGGGAUCAAACAGGAUUAGAAACCCCAGUAGUCC
rnacentral:rRNA from 1 species